rnacentral:rRNA from 1 species
UAAAAUUAAAAAUUUUGGCGGUAUUUUAAUCUUUUCAGAGGAACCUGUCCUGUAAUUGAUAAUCCACGAUUAAUUGAACUUUUUCUUUAAGCUUAUAUAUCGCUGUAGUUUGAGUAUUUUGUAGGAAAAAAUACUCAAGAUAUAUUAUUAUAUAAUAAAUCAAGUCAAGGUGUAGUUUAUGAGAAAGGAGAGAUGGGUUACAAUAAAUUUAUUUUUUGGAUAAGUUAAUGAAGAUUAACUUGGAAAUUGGAUUUGAAAGUAAUUUCUUAUAUUUUUAGGUAAUGAUUUAAGCUCUAAAAUAUGUACAUAUUGCCCGUCACUUUUGUUUUAAAAUGAAAUAAGUCGUAACAAAGUAGACUUACUGGAAAGUGAGUCUAGAAUA